UGUUACACAGUCCUGUCAUAUAUUUAUAUAGUUAACUGUUACACAGUCCUGUCAUAUAUUUAUAUAGUUAACUGUUACACAGUCCUGUCAUAUAUUUAUAUAGUUAGCUGUUACACAGUCCUGUCAUAUAUUUAUAUAGUUAGCUGUUACACAGUCCUGUCAUAUAUUUAUAUAGUUAGCUGUUACACAGUCCUGUCAUAUAUUUAUAUAGUUAGCUGUUACACAGUCCUGUCAUAUAUUUAUAUAGUUAAAUGUUACACAGUCCUGUCAUAUAUUUAAUGUAAUUUAAAACAUUUACAUUUGUCUGGUAGUUAUUUAUUAAUUGACAUUUAAUGAAAAGACACUCUAAAAAAGGGUAGAGAAUUUCUGUGAAAAUGUUUCAGUGUCAUUUCAUCUCUUUCCUGCUCACAGUGUAUAAUACAGGACUGAUAUGAUCAGGUAUUUAAAUAUCUCAGUGUUUAAUACAGGACUGAUAUGAUCAGGUAUUUAAAUAUCUCAGUGUUUAAUACAGGACUGAUAUGAUCAGGUAUUUAAAUAUCUCAGUGUAUUAUACAGGACUUACAUGAUAAGGUAUUUAAAUAUCUCAGUGUAUAAUACAUGAUAAGGUAUUUAAAUAUCUCAGUGUAUUAUACAGGACUUAAAUGAUAAGCUAUUUAAAUAUCACACAGGUCCAAACUAAACUAUCCAUAAACUUGAGAUGGGCAUUCAUGCACGCCUGGAACCAUGAGACAUGCACGCCUGGAACCAUGAGACAUGCACGCCUGGAACCAUGAGACAUGCACGCCUGGAACCAUGAGAACUCAUGAGACAUGCACGCCUGGAACCAUGAGACAUGCACGCCUGGAACCAUGAGAACUCAUGAGACAUGCACGCCUGGAACCAUGAGACAUGCACGCCUGGAACCAUGAGACAUGCACGCCUGGAACCAUGAGACAUGCACGCCUGGAAUCAUGAGACAUGCACGCCUGGAACCAUGAGACAUGCACGCCUGGAACCAUGAGAACUCAUGAGACAGUAUACAUUAUAUUAAAAGAAAAAGGUUUGGUUAACAGUUCCCCAUUUCACACUUCUCUCAUGAACAAACAUACCCAUAAUUGCAUUAGUUCCUCUUAGAAAUUCCCCUCACUGUGCAUGUCCACUUAACAUAUAACAGAGACACUGUAAAGGCCUGUCUCUGAGUCGUACCAAUAGACAUAACCAGAGGAAGUAGGGGUGCUGAGGGUGUUGCAGUACCCCUUGAAAACUCGGAAUAAUAAAUAAAAUCUAUAUAUUUUUUUGUGUUAAAUGAUGUAUAUAUAUAUAUACUGUACGUAUAUGUAGAAAAUAGUAAAAAAAUAAAGAAAAACCCUUGAAUGAGAAGGUGUGUCCAAACAUUUGACUGAUACUGUAUAUAUACAGUAUGUACACUACCGGUCAAAAGUUUUAGAACACCUACUCAUUCAAGGGUUUUUCUUUAUUUUUACUAUCUCCUACGUUGGGUUAAAGGGCAGAUUCCCCCGGUCUAAUGUCCAUUGCUCGUGUUUCUUUGCCCAAGCAAGUCUCUUCUUCUUAUUGGUGUCCUUUAGUAGUGGUUUCUUUGCAGCAAUUCGACCAUGAAGGCCUGAUUCACACAGUCUCCUCUGAACAGUUGAUGUUGAGAUGUGUCUGUUACUUGAACUCUAAUGAAUUUAUAAUCCUCUGCAGCAGAGGUAACUCUGGGUCUUCCUUUCCUGUGGUGGUCCUCAUGAGAGACAGUUUCAUCAUAGCACUUGAUGGUUUUUGCGACUGCACUUGAAGAAACUUUAAAAGUUCUUGAAAUUUUCCAGAUUGAUUGACCUUCAUGUCUUAAAGUUAAUAAUGGACUGUCAUUUAUCUUUGCUUAUUUGAGCUGAUCUUGCCAUAAUAUGGACUUGGUCUUCUACCAAAUAGGGCUAUGUUCUGUAUACCACCCCUACCUUGUCACAACACAACUGAUUGGCUCAAACACAUUAAAAAGGAAAGAAAUUCCACAAAUGAACUUUUAAGAAGGCACACCUGUUAAUUAAUUGAAAUGCAUUCCAGGUGACUACCACAUUAAGCUGGUUGAGAGAAUGCCAAGAGAGUGCAAAGCUUUCAUCAAGGCAAAAGGGUGGCUACUUUGAAGAAUCUCAAAUAUAAAAUAUAUUUGGAUUUGUUUAACACUUUUUUGGUUACUACGUGAUUCCAUAUGUGUUAUUAUUCUACAAUGUGGAAAAUAGUAAAAAUAAAGAAAAACCCUUGAAUGAGUAGGUGUUGUAAAUCUUCUGAACGGUAGUGCAUGUAUUUUUAAAAAUCACAGAAUUAGCGCUGGGCCUUUACUAGUCCCGUAGUCAGUGAAGAAGUGACAGCACCCCCACCCUCAAACUACUUCCCACGGCUAUGCCCGUAGAUUAUAUAGAGCUCUUAGUAUCUAUGCCCAUGGACAAAGAGCAUAAGAUUAUAUUGAGCUCUUAGUAUUUAUGCCCAUAGAUAAAGAGCAUGAGAUUAUAUAGAGCUCUUAGUAUCUAUGCUCAUAGAUAAAGAGCAUGAGAUUAUAUAGAGCUCUUAGUAUUUAUGCCCAUAGAUAAAGAGCAUGAGAUUAUAUAGAGUUCUUAGUAUCUAUGCCCAUGGACAAAGAGCAUAAUAUUAUAUAGAGCUCUUAGUAUUUAUGCCCAUAGAUAAA